rnacentral:rRNA from 1 species
UACAGAGGUCCCAAGCGUUGUUCGGAUUCACUGGGCGUAAAGGGUGCGUAGGUGGCGAGGUAAGUCGGAUGUGAAAGCUCGGAGCUCAACUCCGAAAUGGCAUUGGAAACUACCUUGCUCGAGGGAUGGAGGGGGGACUGGAAUUCUCGGUGUAGCAGUGAAAUGCGUAGAGAUGUGGCGGAACACCGAUGGCGAAGGCAGCCUCCUGGGCCAAUCCUGACGCUCAGGCACGAAAGCGUGGGGAGCAAACAGG